rnacentral:rRNA from 1 species
GACGAACGCUGGCGGCGUGCUUAACACAUGCAAGUCGAACGAUGAAGCCUUUUGGGGUGGAUUAGUGGCGAACGGGUGAGUAACACGUAGGCAAUCUGCCCUGUACUUUGGGAUAAGCCUUGGAAACGAGGUCUAAUACCGGAUAUGACUGGCCUUCGCAUGGGGGUUGGUUGAAAGUUCUGGCGGUACAGGAUGAGCCCGCGGCCUAUCAGCUUGUUGGUGGGGUGAUGGCCUACCAAGGCGA